AAAGGUCAUUCAGGAAUACAAGCCCCAGGAUGCACCGCACGCUAAGUGUUUUAAUAUGGCUUUCACAGAGGCCUCAUACCGACAUUUUCCCUUCCCCAAGCAGGCUCCCAGCCGCCGGCCCGAGGCACGUUGAGGAAUCGCCCAGCUGCCUUGCAACAACUGCAGGGGAAACCAGCCCCAGCCUGGGUCAGGGUGAUGCCGCCCCGUUCCCCCUGUCCCCUGCCGGGCUCCCCGCGCUCCGGUACAGCGGGGCCGGGCCCGGCGGAACAUUUCGGGCCUUGGCGGGGCGGUUCUCCCUGUUCCCGGCCGGGCCGGGCCGGGCCUGGUUGGCGCCGCCCGCCAUUUCGUUGACAGACGCCCCCCCGGCUUUCCCGCGGCCGUCGCCAUGGAGACGGGCGGGCCUGGCCUGGCGCUGGGCGGGCGGGGCCCUGGGCGGCAGCCAUCUUCCCCCGCCGCCGGCCAGCGGGUCGCGCUGUGCCCUUCAGCCCCGCUGCUGGGUUGAAUUAGCCGGUGGCACUCGCGUGUUACCGGCGCCUUCCACAUCGGCGUUGGUAGCACCGGGUGCAAGAGCCUGAUCUGUGUGUCUGCCUGCCUCCAGCCAGCCAUCAUCCUUCAUCAUGUGGAAAAGCAGAGAAGGAAAAGUGCCUUUAAUGCAGAAAUAGGUUAUGGUUUGGGGUUUUUUUUUUGUCUCAGAAUUUAUUAUCUCCUGAAAAGGAAACCACAUGCCCAAAGCAGCUGUUGGGCUGACCUCCCUUCCCUACAUGUGGGGCCCCAGUUGCGUGCUGGUGGGGGGAAGGGAGAAGUGGUAAUGCUUUGCCUUGGUCUGCUCUGUCCUGACUUUGCUGGGUUUGGCUCUGCAGCUGGGUGCCCAGUGGCCAGUGGUGACUCCCAGCCUGGGGAAGGCUUGGGUGCGCCUGCCGUGUCAGGGGGGCUGCACACAGACCCUUCCCUCCAGGAGAGCUGUGUCAGCACGUGGACUGCUAUCUGUCUUCACAUUCCCUUUCAGAGUUCAUAAAAUGUUAACUUUCGAAAGGGAGGUCCCCCUUGUGUAUUUAUGUCAGUGAUUUUGGGGUUUAAAGUAUUCAUGCAUGAAAAAUGAUUGUAGGAACUGUAUACUCCCAUGUGUGAAUAAUGACUACAUGGGAACACAGAUUACAGCAGUUUUGCACUGAGACUGCUGCAGUUUACAGGCUCUCUUUGGGAACGUUAUGAGACGUUUUUAAAUGCUGGUGCAUGUUAAUGCAUUGAUUUCAAUCAGUCUUUUUGUCCCUUUUGGAUUUGUUCAACUUAACAGCUAGCAUGUCUCAUGUUUGCUCUAAGAUAUGCCUAGCAAAUUAGGCAAAUUAAAAAAUGCAUGCAAAAAUAUGGUGCUAGGCACAUGUAUCAGGUUUGUUAUUUAUUAAUAGACUCCAAUUUCCAUACGAUAGCCUGGUGGUUUUUUUUUUUUUCCUGCUUUGGCUCAGUGGAUAGUUUAUGCCAAUUACAUGUAGUUUAACAGCUUUGAAAUCUGUUUUUGCUUUUCUUAUGCAUAAAGACAUGGACUCUUUUUUCAGGUUUUAAUUAAACUCUACACUG
rnacentral:lncRNA from 1 species